GCGGAGGAAAAGAAAAUAACAAUGAUUCCCUUAGUAACGGCGAGUGAACAGGGAAAAGCUCACAGUUGGAACCUGUCUGACUUAGUCAGUCCGGAUUGUAAACUGAAAAAGUGUUUUCCAGGCUAGCCGAGUAAAAAAGUUCCUUGGAAUAGGACAUCAUGGAGGGUGAGAAUCCCGUCUUUGGCUUGAGCAUAGUCUUUUGUGUUGCACUUUAAAGAGUCAGGUUGUUUGGGAAUGCAGCCUAAAGUGGGAGGUAAAUCCCUCCUAAAGCUAAAUAUUGGCGGAAGACCGAUAGCAAACAAGUACCGUGAGGGAAAGAUGAAAAGAACUUUGAAAAGAGAGUUAAACAGUAUGUGAAAUUGCUAAAAGGGAAGCGUUUGGAGACAGACUGGUUGGUCUGAAAUCAGCCUUGGCCUCGGUCUUGGUGUACUUUUAGGCUAUGCCUGCCAACAGCAGUUUGGUCUUUGUGAAAAAACUGGUAGUAAGGUGGCUCCUCCGGGAGUGUUAUAGACUGCUAGAAAAUAACAAGGACUAGACUGAGGAACGCAAUACGGCUUGUCUUAUGAUCAUGUGGAGUGAAUUUGGACCUUUGUCCGAUGAAGCUUUACAAGGGUUGUAUGAACUGUGUUUAGGUUGUUGGCUUAAUGUCUCUAAACGGC
rnacentral:rRNA from 1 species